UUUAUGUCAUUCAGCAAAUUCCUGUAGAAAAGUGACAUAGUGCGGGUUUAAAGCUGUAGUAUGUAACCUUGUUUCAUUAAUGUUUUUUUUUUUUAUUUUGAAGUAAAGACACUUAUGUAAAAAAGACACUGGUAAAAGUACUGAUUCAACCUCUUUAUUGAACCUCUUCUCCCUUAAAUAAGGCCACGGAUUUUGAAUGUCUUGUCACUGCUCUAAAUCUGCUCCGUCUGCAUUGUUUGCUGGUUUACUUUUAUCCAUCCUCAAUCAUCAGCUACUAAUUCUCCAAUAGACACCAUUUCUCUGCCAGGAAGUCUCCCUCGCCCCCCUUCAAAUAUAAUCACUGAUGGUGAGGGAUCAUUUAACUGUACCCUUAGAAGGAUGUUAAUCAAUAUCUUGCCUUAUGUGCUAUAUGAAUAGGUUCUUGCUUCUUUGAAAUCAUUGAAUUGUCAUUUAAUGUUCCGCGCCACCAGUAUUUAGUAAUAUUCAGGCCUGGGGACCAAUGUGAAACCAAGGCAGCUUCAGCCAGAGGGAUUCAGAUAGACAAAGGGUCGAUACGGUUUGUAUAAGGACAGGUUACAACUCUGGUAUGAAGAGUUUGCAAAGGUGUCUCCACUGCUUUAAUAAACAAGAUUGUCACGUA